rfam:Herminiimonas arsenicoxydans chromosome, complete sequence.
GGCGGGCCCCUGCGCAUUGUGGCAUGGCCAACCUGGUCAGGUCGGGAACGAAGCAGCCACAGCCAUUUCCUGCAAGUGCCGUAGACAAGGCUCGCCUCU